rnacentral:rRNA from 1 species
UCAGUUCGGAUUGGAGUCUGNAACCCGACUCCAUGAAGCUGGAUUCGCUAGUAAUCGCGCAUCAGCCACGGCGCGGUGAAUACGUUCCCGGGCCUUGUACACACCGCCCGUCAAGCCAUGGAAGCCGGGAGUGCCUGAAGUGCGUGACCGCAAGGAGCGUCCUAAGGCAAUACCGAUGACUGGGGCUAAGUCGUAACAAGGUAUC